rnacentral:lncRNA from 10 species
AGGAGCCUGCCCUCUUGAGCUCUUGUGGUGACCUGGGAAUCAAUGUGUGAGGUGGUGCUAUGUAGCAGGAACCCCUCUUGCUUUGCAAAUAGUUUUUUGUUUGUUUUCCUUUUUGCCCAAUAGAGCCCUGCUCUACUGACCCUUCAAUGUGCCCGUGUGCCUAAAUAUUCCUGGUCGUGUGAAAAGAACCCAGGUAUUAGCUGAACUAAGGAGCACAAUUCUGCAACAUUUUGGCACCCAAACACGGGGCUUGAGAAAUGAAUGCAAUUGGAGAAACUGGUUGUUUUACCAGGCGUUGAUUGGAAAUGUGUGCUUCCCUUUAAGCAGUCAAGCUCAACUUGCAGAACUGAUGGGAACCCCUUGGGAAAACUGGCCUCAAAUGUUUGUCUACACAGUCCACAUACAGGGUUCUUAACCUGCGUUUUUACCUACAUUUUAGACUGACCCUGCUUGUGCCUGUGAACCAACCAACAAUCUCUGGCUGCAGCUCAGAAAGGACAAAAGAGAAUGGGUAAUGUAAAAACCUGGAUCAGUAUUUUAGUUCUGAACAAUUAUCCUGCAAAUCCUGCCAGCUGAUGGGAAUAAAUAGGAUGCCCAUGAUCCGGAGGUUUACUUUUUGGGAAAGUAAAACCAAGGGAGCUAACCAAAGUAAAACCCCAUACACCCAAAUCUGAGCAAGCAUAACUAUAGCCACCAGUUAUCUGGGUGUGUCACAAGACACUCUUUUCUUUCCUUUGUUGGAGGAGAACUCAUUUCCACAGCUUCACUUUAGCAUUAUGGCUUAUGUUAAGGAGUCUAUGCAACUUCCAUGCUGAGACACGUUUUUGGUCCCAAAGUUAAUUCCAAGCUUUGUGUCAAAGGCCUAAGAAAACUGGAUCUUAGGGAUCCAGAAGCCAGACAAUAAUGAAAGUCAAAAGGCACAGCACAGGUGAGCAUGACUAAUUCCCGCUGAUUAAGCCAAGCUUCCUGUUUCAUGGAUAAAGGUCAUGCUAGUAUCCAUGGCAUAAAUGAGGUCUAGAGAACUAAAAGGCUACUGCCAGCAGGGGAGAUAGGGAGGACAUAAGACAGGGCAGCUAUUCCCAUCCCCUAGACCCCCUGUUAACAUGGAUGAAAGCCACUUUGACACCCAUGGGUGGCACCCUGUCACAGUUGGUGGGACUCAGCAAUACAGGGACAGAGGAAAGAAAGAGGAACAACUCACUUUCUCUCCCUCACACACCCUGAGUAUUUGCUAGAAAAAGAAAGGAACCAGGCACACAUGCUCCCCUAUUUCUAGAUGAGUAGCCAUUCAUCUUUAGUCUGCACCCUUUUAGAACAUGUCCUGAACCCCUGGGACUCUUCUGAAAAAAAUGCCUUCUUUUUUCCUUUUUCUUCCUCUGUCCUCUAUUCACUGGUAGGUAGGUAAUGGUGUCCCAUACCACAGAACACUUCCCUCAGAUGCAUCCUUCUAACUGGGAGGAGUUAAUUUCUCAAACCGUAGACUAAUUGGCUUAGGAUUAGGUUCAGGGGAAGGGAACACAGAAACAUGACAUGCCAGCAAAAGGGUAAAAGGUUUUUUUUCCCCGUUGGGCUUUUGGCCUCUCUCUCCCUGUGCAAACUGGUAAAAGGCGUCUGGAUUUUCUAGUUGUCCUUACCCACUGCUUGUUUCGUUUUGAUACAUAUUUUCUAAUAACCUGUUUGUCUCUUCUCACUUUUAGGCCAUCAAACUCCAGUCUGCACCUGGAGCCUUGGAUGAUGGCCUUUUUUACUGGGAACCCUGAAAUAGGCCUCUGAGGGAAAUCUGAUUGCCAUUUUCCCAAAACAGCUUCCCUGACAAUAGGAAGCAAUUAAGAUUGGUCUUCAUCCUUAUCUUUAUCCUUAUUCUAAUGGCAGUUAGAGGUACUUCUUUAGAGGGGGGAAUGAGACAGCCAAAUGCCUAGGCAGAUAAAAAGGUGUACCUGGAAAAUUUCCAACCCGUCACACAAGUGUUUACAUCAGAUGCUUUUGUGUAGAUGAGGGAAACUUCCCAGGGCUUGUCUGGGUAUGCCCACAGUGGACUGGAGCCCAAAAUGCACACUGGAGGAAGUGGAUGGAGCCACGUGGAUGUCAUGCCUUAUGCAGGGGAGGAGCCUGCUCUCUUCAGCUCCUGUGGUAAUGUGGGAAUCGAUCUGUGAGGUGAGGACCUGUUAGCAGGAACCCCUCUUGCUUUGCUGAAAGUUUUAUUUUUCUUUUUGCCCUAUAAAACCCUGUUCUACUAACCCUUCAAUAUGUCUGCAUUCCUAAAUUUUCCUGGUCAUGUGACGAGAACCUAGGUUUUAGCUGAACUAAGGAGCAAAAUUCUGCAACAUAAAGUCAAAGAAAACUAUGCCUAUAUCCAUUAAAUCAAAUGUUAAAAAGCAAAUAUAAAGAAAAAGUCUUCACAGCCCUAGAGAAAAGUGAAACAUUGUACAUAAAGAAGUAAUAAUUUGAAUGGAUUGUCAGAAACCAUGACUAGAAGACAGAGGAGCAAUAUUUUCAAAUUUCAUAGAGAAAGGAAAAAAAGAAAAGAAGAAAAAAAAGAAGACAUAAUAAAACACCUGUCAUUUUAGUAUUCUGUACCCAUUGAACAUAACCUUCAAUAGAAUGUGAAGUAGACAUAUUCAGGUGAAUAAAAAAUCAAGAGAAUAAUAGUUAUGUUCUACAUGAAAUUAUAAAGGAAAUUUCUCAGACUAGGUGGAAAUUAUACUAGUGAGAAACAGAUUUGAAGGACUAAAGGAAGAGAUGAUAGACUGACAAAGUCAAUUUUUAAAAGCCAGAUCUAACUUCUUAUUGGCUACAAGGAAUCCACUUUUAAUAUACAAAAAUAGGUAAUAAUUAAAUUGCUAGAAAAUACAUUUCAAAUAAAGAAUCAGCACAUGUAGCUUGGAGAAGAUAUAUUAACAUAAAAAGGACUUCAAUAAAAGGAGUAUUAUGAGAAGACAUUUAUGCAGCCAAAAAACACAUGAAAAAAUGCUCACCAUCACUGGCCAUCAGAG